rnacentral:rRNA from 1 species
AUGGCCUACGGGACGCAGCAGUGGGGGAUAUUGCACAAUGGGGGGAACCCUGAUGCAGCGACGCCGCGUGGGUGAAGAAGCGCCUCGGCGCGUAAAGCCCGGUCAGGAGGGAAGAAAAUGACGGUACCUGAAGAAGAAGCCCCGGCUAACUACGUGCCAGCAGCCGCGGUAAUACGUAGGGGGCAAGCGUUAUCCGGAUUUACUGGGUGUAAAGGGGGCGCAGACGGCGAUGCAAGCAAGGAGUGACAGCCCGGGGCCCAACCCCGGGACUGCUCUUGGCAAUGCGUGGCUGGAGUGCGGGAGGG